GAUGAACGCUGGCGGCGUGCCUAAUACAUGCAAGUCGAGCGAACGGACGAGAAUCUUGCUUCUCUGAUGUUAGCGGCGGACGGGUGAGUAAUACGUGGAUAACCUACCUAUAAGACUGGGAUAACUUCGGGAAACCGUAGCUAACACCGGAUAAUAUUUUGAACCGCAGGGUUCAAAAGUGAAAGACGGUCUUGCUGUCACUUAUAGAUGGAUCCGCGCUGCAUUAGCUAGUUGGUAAGGUAACGGCUUACCAAGGCAACGAUGCAUAGCCGACCUGAGAGGGUGAUCGGCCACACUGGAACUGAGACACGGUCCAGACUCCUACGGGAGGCAGCAGUAGGGAAUCUUCCGCAAUGGGCGAAAGCCUGACGGAGCAACGCCGCGUGAGUGAUGAAGGUCUUCGGAUCGUAAAGCUCUGUUAUUAGGGAGGAACAUAUGUGUAAGUAUCUGUGCACAUCUUGACGGUACCUAAUCAGAAAGCCCCGGCUAACUUCGUG
rnacentral:rRNA from 1 species